GCAAAAUCUAAUCUAAACUAGCCGAGCUAUAAUCAGAUGGGUUAUUUACUAAAUGUAUACAGAAUGAUAAUCUAAAUGGCAAAAACAGCCAUAUUUUCAUUUUAGCUGUGUUGAAAAAAAUGUUCUGAUCAGCUUUUUCAGCCUGAAUCUUAUCAGCGUUUAGUAAAUAACCAUAUAUCUGUCUUAAAGAUUUCCAUUACACUUGUAAAAG